rnacentral:rRNA from 1 species
UACGGAGGGUGCGAGCGUUGUCCGGAAUCACUGGGCGUAAAGGCGCGUAGGCGGCUGGGGAAGUCGGCGGUGAAAGCCCGGAGCUCAACUCCGGGUCGGCCGUCGAGACUCCUCGGCUCGAGCUCACUAGAGGCAGAUGGAAUUCCGGGUGUAGCGGUGGAAUGCGUAGAGAUCCGGAAGAACACCGGUGGCGAAGGCGGUCUGCUGGGGUGAGGCUGACGCUGAGGCGCGACAGCGUGGGGAGCGAACAGGACUUAG